UUGAACGCUGGCGGCAUGCCUUACACAUGCAAGUCGAACGGUAGAGUAGCAAUACUCGAGAGUGGCGAACGGGUGAGUAAUAUAUCGGAACGUGCCCAGUCGUGGGGGAUAACGUAGAGAAAUUUACGCUAAUACCGCAUACGAUCUAAGGAUGAAAGCGGGGGACUCGCAAGGGCCUCGCGCGAUUGGAGCGGCUGAUAUCAGAUUAGCUAGUUGGUGAGGUAAAGGCUCACCAAGGCGACGAUCCGUAGCUGGUCUGAGAGGACGACCAGCCACACUGGAACUGAGACACGGUCCAGACUCCUACGGGAGGCAGCAGUGGGGAAUUUUGGACAAUGGGGGCAACCCUGAUCCAGCCAUUCCGCGUGAGUGAAGAAGGCCUUCGGGUUGUAAAACUCUUUCGGCAGGAACGAAACGGUGAGCUCUAACAUAGCUUGCUAAUGACGGUACCUGAAGAAGAAGCACCGGCUAACUACGU
rnacentral:rRNA from 1 species